rnacentral:rRNA from 1 species
UGUUAUAGCAAUAUGACACCAAGAGUGACGCACGGGUGCGUAACACGUAUGCAACCUACCCUUUACAGGCGGAUAGCUCGGGGAAACUCGAAUUAACCCGCCAUAAUAUAAUUGGAUGGCAUCAUUUGAUUAUUAAAUCUGCGGAGGUAAAGGAUGGGCAUGCGUCUGAUUAGUUAGUUGGUAGUGUAACGGACUACCAAGACGAUGAUCAGUAGGGGAACUGAGAGGUUGAUCCCCCACACUGGCACUGAGAUACGGGCCAGACUCCUACGGGAGGCAGCAGUAGGGAAUAUUGGUCAAUGGGUGAGAGCCUGAACCAGCCAUGCCGCGUGCAGGAAGAAGGCCUUCUGGG